CAGAGCAUAGCUUAACCUAGGAGAGCACCUCCCUUACACCGAGGAGACAUCCGUGCAAAUCGGAUUGUUCUGA
rnacentral:tRNA from 1 species